AAAAGAAGAUGAAGAAGUUGGAAAAAGAGCUUAAGUUGUGGUGCUACUGCUGUUUUUCUUACUUUCUUACUUUCUUUCUAGCCGCCUGCUUGCUUACUUUUUCUUUUCUUUUUUUGGCGCAAA
rnacentral:ribozyme from 1 species